GCGUACGAGGAGACGGUCUGGAUGGGAUCUGAACUCUGGUCAUGCCGCACUUCGGGAAGAUUUUUGUUAUGCCCUGGAAACCCUGUAUUCUCUCGCACGACUGCAAACCCCAAGCAAACAAGAAUAUUCACCCAUGUUGACAGGCAUGUUGGGGGAAGAAGAAGAAGAAAAAAAAAGCCAUACUAAAUCCACCCCUGUGGAUGGAUUGCUCACUUCAUCUCUCACAUCGCGGCUUUAUCGUGAAUAUAUAGUCCCAAGGCGGCACGCGAUGGCAUAGCAGCGUCAGCGGGCGUCUCCAUUGUAGAAAAUGUGCGCGCUCGGUGCAAAAUGUGCGCCAACGACGAAUGCGCGCGCGACACUUGUGUGUCGGGUCGGGACCACAGAGAGCAGCAGCACGGUCGCGGUCGGUGUUCGGCACCCGAUUCUCACCAGUCGAAUGGUGAACGCGGAUGAUGAACGGACAUCGCGCUACCGUCGCUGUGUUGUCGCGCGAAUUUAUUCGUUUUUCCGUUGAAUGAAACGGUUUUUUUUGUUGUUGGUUGAAUUGAAAUAAUCGCAAUCUUGAGAAUAAUAUAUAGAGAAAUAUUGUUGCUGAGGUGAUUUAUGAAUUACUACUAAGGUGAUUUAAGAGCGAACUGAGCCUGCCUUUGACGGUUUAUUUUUAAAAUUUCCGUUCCUCCAUCAACUGGCAAGAUCAGCCAGCAGUGUGAUAGUGGUGGGGAUCCCAUGUAUACUUUCGACCAUGUUUGAGAAUCGGGGUGGACACAAACACGCGCACAUGUGUAUUGCCUGAAGUUUUGGUGUACAAAAACGAUAGCAAAAAAAACCGCCAACCAACUCCCUCAAAUCCUCCCCGACCAAGAUAAACAGUUGCGCUGCCUCAGUACAGUUGCUCUUGUGCCCUUCUUGCACUCGCUUGAUGUGUUGUUUCGAUGUUAACUGUUUACGCGUGAAAAAUCCAUCUUGUGUGAGGUGAAAAUCGGUAAAGGUUUCUUUAACUCAUUCCCACCAUGCUUGGAUAGUGUUUCAAUGGUUGUUUUUUUUU